rnacentral:rRNA from 1 species
GGCCAGACUCCUACGGGAGGCAGCAGUGGGGAAUAUUGGGCAAUGGGCGCAAGCCUGACCCAGCAACGCCGCGUGAAGGAAGAAGGCCCUCGGGUUGUAAACUUCUUUUAUCAAGGACGAAACAAAUGACGGUACUUGAUGAAUAAGCCACGGCUAACUACGUGCCAGCAGCCGCGGUAAUACGUAGGGGGCAAGCGUUAUCCGGAUUUACUGGGUGUAAAGGGAGCGUAGACGGCAUGGCAAGUCAGAUGUGAAAGCCCGGGGCUCAACCCCGGGACUGCAUUUGAAACUGUCAGGCUGGAGUGCAGGAGAGGUAAGUGGAAUUCCUAGUGUAGCGGUGAAAUGCGUAGAUAUUAGGAGGAACACCAGUGGCGAAGGCGGCCUGCUGGACGAUGACUGACGUUGAGGCUCGAAAGCGUGGGGAGCAAACAGGAUUAGAUACCCGGGUA